rnacentral:rRNA from 1 species
AACGAACGCUGGCGGCGCGCCUAAUACAUGCAAGUCGAGCGAGAAGACGUAGCAAUACGUUUGUAAAGCGGCGAACGGGUGAGGAAUACAUGGGUAACCUACCCUCGAGUGGGGAAUAACUAGCCGAAAGGUUAGCUAAUACCGCGUACGCUCCUUGGACUUCGGCUCAGGGAGGAAAGCGAUACCGUGGGUAUCGCGCUCUUGGAUGGGCUCAUGUCCUAUCAGCUUGUGGUGAGGUAACGGCUCACCAAGGCUUCGACGGGUAGCUGGUCUGAGAGGACGAUCAGCCACACUGGGCACUGCGACACGGGGCCAGACUCCUACGGGGAGGCAGCAAGUAAGGAAUAUUGCGCAAUGGGCGAAAGCCUGACGCAGCGACGCCGC